rnacentral:rRNA from 1 species
UAGGGAAUCUUCGGCAAUGGGGGGAACCCUGACCGAGCAACGCCGCGUGAGUGAAGAAGGUUUUCGGAUCGUAAAGCUCUGUUGUUAAGUAAGAACGAGUGUGAGAAUGGAAAGUUCAUACUGUGACGGUACUUAACCAGAAAGGGACGGCUAACUACGUGCCAGCAGCCGCGGUAAUACGUAGGUCCCGAGCGUUGUCCGGAUUUAUUGGGCGUAAAGCGAGCGCAGGCGGUUAGAUAAGUCUGAAGUUAAAGGCAGUGGCUCAACCAUUGUAGGCUUUGGAAACUGUUUAACUUGAGUGCAGAAGGGGGGCGUGGAAUUCCAUGUGUAGCGGUGAAAUGCGUAGAUAUAUGGAGGAACACCGGUGGCGAAAGCGGCUCUCUGGUCUGUAACUGACGCUGAGGCUCGAAAGCGUGGGGAGCGAACAGG